UUAUCCGGAUUCACUGGGCGUAAAGAGCGUUGAGCCGGUUCCGUAAUUUGGGCGUGAAAGCUCCGGGCUUAACUCGGAGAUGUCGUUCAAUACUUCGGGGCUUGAGGACAGCAGAGGAAGGUGGAAUUUCCCGGUGUAGUGGUGAAAUGCGUAGAUAUCGGGAGGAACACCCGUGGCGAAGGCGGCCUUCUGGGCUGUUCCUGACGCUGAAGGCGAAAGCUAGGGGAGCGAACGGGAUUAGAUACCCCGGUAGUCCUAGCUGUAAACGAUGGAUGCUGGGUCUGGGGGGUGUAAAUUCCCUCUGUGCCGAAGCAAACGCGUUAAGCAUCCCGCCUGGGGACUACGGCCGCAAGGCUAAAACUCAAACGAAUUGACGGGGCCCGCACAAGCAGCGGAGCGUGUGGUUUAAUUCGAUGCUACACGAAGAACCUUACCUGGGUUUGACAUGCACGUGGUAGGGAACCGAAAGGGGACCGACCUUCGGGAGCGUGCACAGGUGCUGCAUGGCUGUCGUCAGCUCGUGCCGUGAGGUGUCGGGUUAAGUCCCGUAACGAGCGCAACCCUUGCCCUUAGUUACAAGUGUCUAAGGGGACUGCCCGGGACAACUGGGAGGAAGGUGGGGAUGACGUCAAGUCAGCAUGGCCUUUAUAUCCAGGGCUACACACACGCUACAAUGGCCGGUACAAUAGGUUGCGAAGUCGUGAGGCGGAGCCAAUCCUCAAAGCCGGUCUCAGUUCGAAUUGCAGUCUGCAACUCGACUGCAUGAAGCUGGAGUUGCUAGUAAUCGCAGGUCAGCUAUACUGCGGUGAUACGUUCCCGGGCCUUGUACA
rnacentral:rRNA from 1 species